rnacentral:rRNA from 1 species
AUCGAACGCUGGCGGCAUGCUUUACACAUGCAAGUCGAACGGCAGCAUGGACUUCGGUCUGGUGGCGAGUGGCGAACGGGUGAGUAAUACAUCGGAACGUACCCAGUAAUGGGGGAUGACUAUCCGAAAGGAUAGCUAAUACCGCAUACGCCCUACGGGGGAAAGAGGGGGAUCGCAAGACCUCUUGUUAUUGGAGCGGCCGAUGGCUGAUUAGCUAGUUGGUAGGGUAAAGGCCUACCAAGGCAACGAUCAGUAACGGGUCUUAGAGGACGAUCCGCCACACUGGAACUGAGACACGGUCCAGACUCCUACGGGAGGCAGCAGUGGGGAAUCUUGGACAAUGGGCGCAAGCCUGAUCCAGCAAUGCCGCGUGCGUGAAGAAGGCCUUCGGGUUGUAAAGCGCUUUUGUCAGGGAGCAAAUCCUUGUGGCUAAUACCCACCGGGGAUGAGAGUACCUGAAGAAUAAGGACCGGCUAACUACGUGCCAGCAGCCGCAGUAAGAC